GCCGCCUGUCACGCUCUCCUCACCUGGGACCUUAUCUUGCUUUUGGUUACGGAAUAGGAGGCCUGAGUGUAGAGCGGUUUUCGCCUUUGUUUCCCUCUCAUACUUUCCCCUCCCAUGGCGCCUAAAAAGCUACUGCUGAUACUGCGGAGCUAGUUAGUAUCGGCUCUAUGAUGUGCGUUCUUCCAGUAGGAGAUUUUCCGAGGGAGCGAGAGGCAGCUUUUGAACCAACCACAAGGAUUUUAGACAAAACAGGAACAAACCAAAAGAGAUCAUCUUAUAACUUGGAGCAAGGAUGGACCUCAACAGUGCCCCUGCUACUGGUUAUGUCCAAAGCCAUCCUCUGGGUGAAUAAGCCUCAGAGGCCUCCUUGUGGGAAGACAGCAUCAAGCUGCAAGACUCCUGCGACUCCCAUGUCCACUGAUGCCCACAGCCUUUCAGACUCCAGAAGGAACCCCUGAUCCUGGGCCUUAUGUUUAUCUUCAUCUUAUUGCUAGAUACCUUUUAAAAUGUAAAAAUAAUUAAAUAAAAUAUAUGAUGUCCAUAGUUUGAGGACCAAAAUAA
ensembl:lncRNA